rnacentral:rRNA from 1 species
UGGGGAAUUUUGGGCAAUGGGGGAAACCCUGACCCAGCAACGCCGCGUGAAGGAUGAAGUAUUUCGGUAUGUAAACUUCGAAAGAAUAGGAAGAAUAAAUGACGGUACUAUUUAUAAGGUCCGGCUAACUACGUGCCAGCAGCCGCGGUAAUACGUAGGGACCAAGCGUUGUUCGGAUUUACUGGGCGUAAAGGGCGCGUAGGCGGCAUGACAAGUCACUUGUGAAAUCUCUGGGCUUAACCCAGAACGGCCAAGUGAUACUGUCGCGCUAGAGUGCAGAAGGGGCAAUCGGAAUUCUUGGUGUAGCGGUGAAAUGCGUAGAUAUCAAGAGGAACACCUGAGGCGAAGGCGGGUUGCUAGGCUGACACUGACGCUGAGGCGCGAAAGCUAGGGUAGCAAACGGGAUUAGAUACCCUUGUAGUCCCUGAGCGGGCUGGCAAGGCGCAU